rnacentral:rRNA from 1 species
CCUAACACAUGCAAGUCGAACGAACCCUUCGGGGUUAGUGGCGCACGGGUGCGUAACGCGUGGGAAUCUGCCCUUUGCUUCGGAAUAACAGUUAGAAAUGACUGCUAAUACCGGAUGAUGUCUUCGGACCAAAGAUUUAUCGGCAAGGGAUGAGCCCGCGUAGGACUAGGUAGUUGGUGGGGUAAAGGCCUACCAAGCCGACGAUCCUUAGCUGGUCUGAGAGGAUGAUCAGCCACACUGGGACUGAGACACGGCCCAGACUCCUACGGGAGGCAGCAGUGGGGAAUAUUGGACAAUGGGCGCAAGCCUGAUCCAGCAAUGCCGCGUGAGUGAUGAAGGCCUUCGGGUCGUAAAGCUCUUUUACCAGGGAUGAUAAUGACAGUACCUGGAGAAUAAGCUCCNGGCUAACUCCNNGUGCCAGCAGCCGCGGUAAUACGGAGGGAGCUAGCGUUGUUCGGAAUUACUGGGCGUAAAGCGCACGUAGGCGGCGACACAAGUCAGAGGUGAAAGCCCGGGGCUCAACCCCGGAACUGCCUUUGAAACUAGGUUGCUAGAAUCUUGGAGAGGUCAGUGGAAUUCCGAGUGUAGAGGUGAAAUUCGUAGAUAUUCGGA